UACAGAGGUCCCAAGCGUUGUUCGGAUUCACUGGGCGUAAAGGGUGCGUAGGUGGUUGCGCAAGUCUGAUGUGAAAUCUCCGGGCUCAACCCGGAAAUGGCAUUGGAAACUGCGUGGCUAGAGGGUUGGAGGGGGGGACUGGAAUACUUGGUGUAGCAGUGAAAUGCGUAGAUAUCAAGUGGAACACCAGUGGCGAAGGCGAGUCCCUGGACAACACCUGACACUGAGGCACGAAAGCUAGGGGAGCAAACAGG
rnacentral:rRNA from 1 species